GCGAAAGCCCGAAAACAAAAUGAAUCAAAACUUUCAACAACGGAUCUCUUGGCUCUGGCAUCGAUGAAGAACGCAGCGAAAUGCGAUAAGUAAUGUGAAUUGCAGAAUUCAGUGAAUCAUCGAAUCUUUGAACGCACAUUGCGCCCGCCGGCACUCCGGCGGGCAUGCCUGUCCGAGCGUCAUU
rnacentral:rRNA from 1 species